UGCGAUGAGUCGAGAGAUUUCAAUUUAUUUGAAAUUUUUUAGCCACCUCUCAUUAACGACCGCAUAUGUCGGAGAGGGUAGUUAGUGUUUGUGGAAAUA
rnacentral:ncRNA from 1 species